CCGUGUGCUCUAUCAAAACAUAUUCGUGUCAUGUUGAGUUGUAUGGACACGUGCCGUGCCACGUGAUGUUCGGCCCGUUGGCCAUCUUUGGCAAUAGCCAUUAUUGCCUCAUGCAAUUAUGUAAAUGUGUUUUAACAGUUCUUUUUUUUUUUUUUUUUUUUUUUUUUUUUUUUUUUUUUUUUUUUUUUUUUUUUGUUUUCUUGUGCAAUUUUUUUCAUAAAAUUGAGGAAAAAAAAUUAGAAGUAUCAUGUAUCACUAAUAAGGAAAAUUAUAAACUCUCGUCUCAAAUAUAAGUUAGAAGCACUUAAAUUCAAAUUCAAAUGGCUAUGACACUUACCCUCUUCAAAUUUAAAAAUAUUGCGCAUAACUCACUUAUACUGACAAUUUAAGUUAUU
rnacentral:lncRNA from 1 species